rnacentral:rRNA from 1 species
GAUGAACGCUGGCGGCGUGCUUAACACAUGCAAGUCGAACGGUGAACACGGAGCUUGCUCUGUGGGAUCAGUGGCGAACGGGUGAGUAACACGUGAGCAACCUGCCCCUGACUCUGGGAUAAGCGCUGGAAACGGCGUCUAAUACUGGAUAUGUGACGUGACCGCAUGGUCUGCGUUUGGAAAGAUUUUUCGGUUGGGGAUGGGCUCGCGGCCUAUCAGCUUGUUGGUGAGGUGAUGGCUCACCAAGGCGGCGACGGGUAGCCGGCCUGAGAGGGUGACCGGCCACACUGGGAUUGAGACACGGCCCAGACUCCUACGGGAGGCAGCAGUGGGGAAUAUUGCACAAUGGGCGAAAGCCUGAUGCAGCAACGCCGCGUGAUGGAUGACGGCCUUCGGGUUGUAAACCUUUUUUAGCAGGGAAGAAGCGAAAGUGACGGUACCUGCAGAAAAAGCGCCGGCUAACUACGUG